AGUGAACGCUGGCGGUGGGCCUAACACAUGCAAGUCGAACGGCAGCACAGUAAGAGCUUGCUCUUACGGGUGGCGAGUGGCGGACGGGUGAGGAAUACAUCGGAAUCUACUUUUUCGUGGGGGAUAACGUAGGGAAACUUACGCUAAUACCGCAUACGACCUACGGGUGAAAGCAGGGGAUCUUCGGACCUUGCGCGAUUGAAUGAGCCGAUGCCGGAUUAGCUAGUUGGCGGGGUAAAGGCCCACCAAGGCGACGAUCCGUAGCUGGUCUGAGAGGAUGAUCAGCCACACUGGAACUGAGACACGGUCCAGACUCCUACGGGAGGCAGCAGUGGGGAAUAUUGGACAAUGGGCGCAAGCCUGAUCCAGCCAUACCGCGUGGGUGAAGAAGGCCUUCGGGUUGUAAAGCCCUUUUGUUGGGAAAGAAAAGCAGCAGGUUAAUACCCCGCUGUUCUGACGGUACCCAAAGAAUAAGCACCGGCUAACUUCGUG
rnacentral:rRNA from 1 species